ACAUGGAAUACCCAGGGCACGUUUCAGUACGAGCAUAGUUUCAGGCUCCUUUCACAGCACUGAAGCUGUUAAUGACAAAACGUGCCUUUCACCCCGUCCAUUCGUAUGUAACGCUGUGCCGCACUCACAGGCACUGUGAGCCCUGCCCAAGGCCGGGGCUGAGCACAAGGAGCCCGCCCAAAGCACUGCCUCCCUUGGCACGCCUCCAGGUAGCGAUCCUCAUAGCAAACCCCGGCCUGCCCGAUGCUCCCAGUGCAAAGAGUUCACCUUAAUGCUUUACGGGUUGUUUUUGAUUAACAAGUUGAAUAGCAUUUACUGGAAGCAUUUUCUUUUUUGGACAAGAUCAGCGCUGCGAAUAGACGGGGAUAUUAGGCAGCUGGGUGCUCCUUUCCUUCUGUAGGAAAACUGCUGUUGGAGUUUUGUUCCUGUUAGAAACUCAGUCAGGUGGAUGGUUAAAGCUCUUGGGAAUCAGCCCAGGACUUCUGUGAUGCUCUUGAAGAACAGCAUUGUCAGUGAGAUCUUGUGAAGAUGGAUGAAGCACGGCUUGGAAGCCAAGAGCAGCACAAAAGGUAAUGCCUCCUUACUCAAUAUCCACGAAGAUUCCUGGGAGCCAAUUACAGUCACAGCAGCAGGAAGAGUCAGACUGUAGUUAAACCUUCCAGCCCCCACACAGCAACAGGAAAAUCCUGUUUGAAGAAUAAGGGAAGAGCCUAUUUGAGACCACAAGAGACACUGUGCUGGAUAUGCUGCCAUUUCUCCAUGCAUUGUACAUUAUACGGCUACUUGGCUGCAAGUGACCUCAGAGCCUGGCCCACUGUGGGUCAUUACUUUAUUAUUUUCUAAUAUUCGUUUACACAAGAGGCCUGUCCAGGCUGGGAUUAGGGGAGAUGGGCUUCUUCAGGAGGGAUCUGAAGUUGCAGAGUGGAGGUUCGGGUUGGAUAUCAGGAAGAAUUUCUUCAUAGAGAUGGUGGUCAGUCAUCAGAACAGGCUGCCCAGAGCAGUGGUGGAGUCCCAUCCCUGGAGUCAUUUAAGAGACACUAAGGGACACAGAGCAGUGAAAGGACGCAGUUGCUGAGGCUGAUGGUUGGACUGUGUGAUUUUUUAGAUCUUCUCCAACCUAAAUGAUUGAAGGGGGUUGGAACAGAUGACCCCCAGAGGACCCUUCCAUACAACCCUUGUUCUGUCAUUCUACAAUUCCAUGCCCCCACAGCAAUUUUUCAGAAUCAAAAGCAAUAGUGUGAGCAGGUCCCUCACUACCAACGCUUGUCGGUAUGUAAACAGACUAGAAGAGAUUUUUAGCCAAGAAUCGCAACGUUUUUUUCCCAGAAAAAUACCCCGAGGAACAACAUCAAAUUAACUUCACAGAGGUUCCUUCUAAUCUGACCAAAGAGCCAGAAGGAACGAACACCACCCAUCUGAUCUGCUGACUUCAGGGAAAACUACUCUGCAUCUCAGAGAGAAACAGUGCAUUUUCUGAUAGGCAGUGUUCUUCUGUUAAAGAGAAUCUUAAACUUUGCUAGGAAAAUAACAUACACACUAUAUAUGUGUAUAUAAAUGCUUUAGCAGGGGGGUUGGACUCAAUGACCUCUUGAGAUCCCUUCCAACCUUUGCAAUUAUGUGAUUCUGUGGUUACAAUUCCUUUAUGUAUAUAUAUAUAUAUAUAUAUUUUUCUGUAGUGGGAUACAAAGACGUCAGCAGCAUAAAUUUAUCAGAAAAAAAAGAUCUUCUCAAAGCAAUUUAAAUCCUUGUUUGAGUAAGAAGACACUCAGAGAGGGAAAAAAGCAUUAAAGAUAGGCAAUUCAGUAGGGCUUCAUGGAGAACAGCGCUUGUGCAGGCUGCAGAUGUGUUAUGUAAACUACCCCCAGCUUUUCUAGCGGGUUUACGCAAGGCAAGCAGCUUUCAUGCCAUGUGAAGAGCAGGGUUUGAUGGAUUUGGCUUCUGGAAGUAACAAGUUAAUGACCAGUCAUCUUCAGUUCCUCCAGUCUGGAGCAGAUAAAAAGUUGUUUGCGAGCAUCUGGGAGAUUAAAAGGAAAGGAGUAGCACCCACCAUGUAUUCAUCACUGCAGUCACUUUGCUUUCUAUGGCAGGCUAACAGUCAGGCAUGAGCCAUCAGUGGCACAAAUACAGGAUGAGGAGGAGCUGGUGAGGCAGCUGUAUUUUUCUUCCAAAAAGAUCUGAAAAAUAAAUGGAUCGCAACACCCAUCCAUCAUCGCUUAUACCUUGCCACCGCUUUUGCUGUCAGAAAUGGCAUCUGCACUGAUCCCAGUGGCUGGAACAGGUCUCUGCCCCGAGGAGGAUCCAUAUGCUGUUGAUGUUUGGUUGGAGGGAGACCAGAAAAAGCAUUCCAGGCUCUGUAUAGUUUGCUGCACAGAGCUGGUAGGUUACAAACAUUUUGAAAAGAGGACCUAUGGAAAAACAGAUACAGUCUCCCACACACACUUCACAACAUUCAGUAAGGACUCAGUGCACAGAAACACCAGAAUAUAUAGAUAAUCCCUCAGCUAGACACAGCUGUGAUCAGGACAGGAGGGGCCGCCCGCCUGCAUGGCAGCUCCCAGCAACCACAGCCUCCAGCAGAUGUAGCUGACCGCUGAGAUGACAAAUGACAUCUAAGAGCCAAAGGGCUUCUUCCAAAAAUUACUUAUCUAGAGGUUACAUAUUACAUGGUACAGAGCGUGCUUGUUAUCAGACCACACUGAAACAUAGCAGAAAGGUUGUGCCAUGACUUUAUCAAAGGCCAAACACAAACUGAACACUAUGUCACUGCAUGGAAUUCACUCACAAAGCUCUGCGACUGAAUUGCAAAAGGUGAUGAAAACUAAGAUUGCCAAACGCUGCUGCAGAUUCUCUAUCCCGUACUCCUUGACAUCUAUCCCAAACUCAUUGAAACAGGCUGUAAAAGUGGACGUUGUUGUUGCAGGAGGAAGUGCUGAACUCCCAGAUCAGAAGAGCAGAAGCUGGAUGAGUUUAGGGGGUAGCUGACGGUUGACACGUGGCUGUGCUCUAUCAGUCAGGAAAGCAGCUGCUCCUCGGCAGCUUACUGCAGCGAGAGGCAACUGGUGCGUGUGGUGCAAUGCGAUAGGAGCAUUUGGGUUGGAAGAUGAGCUCCUGCUAUCUCUCUAAAAAAGCACUGACAGAGUAUUGCUUAUUGCCCUUCUCCUAAAAAAAAAUAGUGGGCUCUGAAUCAAGAUGUUUUGAAAAUGUAUUUUAGUAAACACACCUUUAAUUCUGAUACGCGUGUUCCAGCUAAUCACAGCUGCUCUCCCUCGAGCCCUCAGUCUGCUUGUAGGGAAGGCAAGGAGAGCAGGCCAGCAAAAAUGUGAAUUAUUUAUGUUCUUGCUGAAAGUGCAAGCCUUGUCACUACAGCCUUGCUUGAUGGGAUGGAUCUACAGAGACAGUUUCUGUAGCAACCCAGAACCUCACCCCACAAAAUGUCACCCAGCAGUCACAGGUAAUGCAGGGCAGUCAUAAAUAUCUGCCUGGGUAGCUGCAGAUAACACAGAAAUGCCAAAGCAAAGUACAUCUGGGCCUUGAGUCCUUCAUUCUCAAAGACCCAAGAAGAGCUUUCAGGCCAACUCGGGUACAGCUAACAACCCAGCUGAGUCAACACAGUGUUUCAAAAGACCGCACAGCCUGUGUGGGAGCUCCGCACCUUAUUCACAUCUGCUCAGGCUGCUGCUGACCAUACGAGCUGCUGUGGUCUGAGGCUCUUGCUGGUACCCAGUGAGCUCAAGUCAGAGGCGUACUAUCGCAGUGUUUAUGACAGGUACAUAUAUCCGGCACCAGGGUUGUUAAUAUUAUCCCAAAUGUUUCAGGUAUCUCACUUUUAUAUCACUGCAUUUACUGUAGAUCGACCAAGGGAUGUGUGGAUUUAACUAUUAUAUCCCUACCUAUAUCUAACCUUCAGUCUUGGCUUGUGGCUGUUUGCAACCCACCUCAAUGAAAACGUUAUGAAAAUUACAAGCUGUCAGGACUGUCUUGCAAAGCUUUGAAGUGUGAUACAGGCUAGCAGGUUUGUCUAGACAUAUUAAACAUAUUUGUCAGU